rfam:Trichobilharzia regenti genome assembly, scaffold: TRE_scaffold0010952
AUCCACCUGACGAGUCCCAAAUAGGACGAAAUACGCCUAUUGGAU